rnacentral:rRNA from 1 species
AUAACGGCUGGAAACGGUCGCUAAUACCGCAUAAUGUACGGAUGGAACAUCCUGUCGGUACCAAAGAUUUAUCGCUCGAAGAUGGGCUCGCGUCCGAUUAGGUAGUUGGUGAGGUAACGGCCCACCAAGCCGACGAUCGGUAGCCGGACUGAGAGGUUGAACGGCCACAUUGGGACUGAGACACGGCCCAGACUCCUACGGGAGGCAGCAGUGGGGGAUAUUGCACAAUGGGGGAAACCCUGAUGCAGCGACGCCGCGUGUGGGAAGACGGUCUUCUGGAUUGUAAACCACUGUCCCCAGGGACGAAAAUGACGGUACCUGGGGAGGAAGCUCCGGCUAACUACGUGCCAGCAGCCGCGGUAAUACGUAGGGAGCAAGCGUUGUCCGGAAUUACUGGGUGUAAAGGGAGCGUAGGCGGGGAUGCAAGUUGGGUGUCAAAACUACCGGCUCAACCGAUAGUCGCACUCAAAACUGCAGCUCUUGAGUGAAGUAGAGGCAGGCGGAAUUCCUAGUGUAGCGGUGAAAUGCGUAGAUAUUAGGAGGAACACCAGUGGCGAAGGCGGCCUGCUGGGCUUUUACUGACGCUGAGGCUCGAAAGUGUGGGGAGCAAACAGGAUUAGAUACCCUGGUAGUCCACACCGUAAACGAUGAUUACUAGGUGUGGGGGGUCUGACCCCCUCCGUG